GGGCUCCAUGCCAUGCUGAGGAGAGUCAGGCCCGCUGCAUCACAGCAGGCCAACGCGCCUGAAAGAAAGCUACCGAGACUGAUGAGGACAGCAGAAACAAGAGCAUGAGGGCCCUUCUGAGAGUGAUUUCACAGCCGCAGAACCAUCCUCCGUGAUUAAAUGGGACGCUGAUAAUGCGCACAGUGCAGAGAAAAAAGUGACACGGCAAGUUUGGGCUCAACUGAGGGCUUCGUGAUCGGAGGUGAAGACCAACAAAAGCCACUUGUGAAUGUUGACUUCAACACAGGCUGGUGAAGAAAUCUCACCACCCGCUGGAGGUGACGCCAGCCUUUGCAGGCAUGUUAUCCAGCUUCCCUGGCUCCUAACCAGCCCUGAUAACGUCUGUGAGGGAAGAGUCCUCGCCACGCCAGACCUGUAAUGGAACCCAGCAGACGUCAGACAGGCACAUAUGCUAAGACAGCUCACGCCUCAGCACCGCUGGCUGCAGUGGGGAAGGAAGGAGGAACAGGGCUUGACAGUACCACUUCUGGCCUGGCAAACUGGGUGUUGUUCAUGAAGACAGAGAAGAAAACAUCUAUGCUGGGUCUCUUCCUCAAUUCUGCAGCAGCCUCCCAAGCACCCAAGCUCCAUGGUCUCUCCCGCAGGACUCCUUGGCAUGAGGCAGGCCGGAGAUGUGAACCACCUCGUAGAAGUGGUCAGAGUUGUGAUGACCCAUUUUGCCGAAGUGGAAACUGAGAUUCGUAACAAAGAAGCCCCAACUGUGCAUGGCAGCAGGAGUCACCCCUACUGAGGGUCACUCCAGCUUCUUACAGGUCUACAAUGAAGCACUCUAGCCUGAGACCCUGAAGGCUUCCUUCUGCUACUGUCUCCUACGCCUGGUGCCCCAAGUCAUGGAGUAAUGGCCUCUCCAACCCCGGGGCCUUGUAAAACCCAUGGUUCCCUUCACCUGAGCCUCGUACAACUUGCAUUUCCUGUUCAUAUCGCCAGGUGGCCCCUGUUGCUCGUAACGGGUCUGAUCCCAGGUCAGCAUUUGUCUCUGCAACCCUUGAUGUCAAGAUCCAUCUGAGUCCAGAUUUUUACACGGGAGACAGCGUCUCAUUUAAUCCCCCCAAAUAUACAUGAAGGGGCCUCAGAAUCUCCAGUUGACAGAGUCUCAGAGCAAUUAUGUGACCUGCUCAGGGUCACAUGGCUGGGCAUUUACACUCACGCCAGCUUUGGGAAGGGACCAAGGGGACUAACCGAAAAUAGCUAAUUUGGAACUAAGUCUGCCCCAAGGUGCUAUUUAUUCUUGGCAUUGUCAAACGGAAGAAUCAUGCUCCUACUUCACAUUUGCCCCCAGCUCUUGUUCCCAUUACUCAACUUCCAUGUAUUUUAUUUUGGUUUAUUUAGUCUAUUGCCCACAAUAAAUUAUUUUCUUAUUCACCACUAAAAAAGAUGUAAUUUCAGUAGUGAACACUAGAUGUCACUAUCCACCAGCUUUAGAAAACCUUUUGGUAACCAUCGCAAGUCUCACACUGACCUGCUAUUGUGCUACAUAAUCUAUAAAGACUGAAACAGCACCACAAGGCAAAAACUCCCAUUACAAAUGCUGGAUAAUCCACAGCCUCACUCUGAGGGAUGGAUAUAUAUAUAUAUGUAUGUUUAUUUUUCCCCAGGUGAGAAAUAAUAGCAAGGGCAUAUUAAGUACCAGUGAAACCGAGGAAGUAUAUUUUAUUUAGAUCAUGUAUUUGAAAACUCACAUUGUAUGCCUGAAGUACUUGACUAGCAUUCUGGGAACUGGUUGGAAGCCCAAGGAUAAAACCUACAAAAAACUCAUCAAAGCUCUUAUAGGGGAGACAAAUAUACAUGAAGGUUUUGCCAAGUAGUUUUGAGAAAAUGAAGCAGUAUUCAAAAGCACGUAUUUGAAUCCAAGAUCUUUUUAUA